ensembl:miRNA
UGCUCAGUAGGCAGUGUAGAUCCUGUAUAAUGAUCAGCAGCUACAUCUGGCUACUGGGUCUC